UACGAAGGGGGCUAGCGUUGUUCGGAAUUACUGGGCGUAAAGCGCACGUAGGCGGAUUGUUAAGUGAGGGGUGAAAUCCCAGGGCUCAACCCUGGAACUGCCUUUCAUACUGGCAAUCUCGAGUCCGAGAGAGGUGAGUGGAAUUCCGAGUGUAGAGGUGAAAUUCGUAGAUAUUAGGAAGAACACCAGUGGCGAAGGCGGCUCACUGGUCCGGUACUGACGCUGAGGUGCGAAAGCGUGGGGAGCAAACAGGG
rnacentral:rRNA from 1 species